rnacentral:rRNA from 1 species
CUAGCGACUUCAGUAGUUUGAUCCUGGCUCAGGACGAACGCUGGCGGCGUGCUUAACACAUGCAAGUCGAACGGAAAGGCCCUGCUUUUGUGGGGUGCUCGAGUGGCGAACGGGUGAGUAACACGUGAGUAACCUGCCCUUGACUUUGGGAUAACUUCGGGAAACUGGGGCUAAUACCGGAUAGGAGCUCCUGCUGCAUGGUGGGGGUUGGAAAGUUUCGGCGGUCGGGGAUGGACUCGCGGCUUAUCAGCUUGUUGGUGGGGUAGUGGCUUACCAAGGCUUUGACGGGUAGCCGGCCUGAGAGGGUGACCGGCCACAUUGGGACUGAGAUACGGCCCAG